GUGAGGAAUAUUGGUCAAUGGGCGAGAGCCUGAACCAGCCAAGUCGCGUGAAGGAAGAAGGAUCUAUGGUUCGUAAACUUCUUUUGCAGGGGAAUAAAGUGCAGGACGUGUUCUGUUUUGUAUGUACCCUGAGAAUAAGGAUCGGCUAACUACGUGCCAGCAGCCGCGGUAAUACGGAGGAUCCGAGCGUUAUCCGGAUUUAUUGGGUUUAAAGGGUGCGUAGGUGGUUUGAUAAGUCAGCGGUGAAAGUUUGCAGCUUAACUGUAAAAAUGCCGUUGAAACUGUCGGACUUGAGUGUAAAUGAGGUAGGCGGAAUGCGUGGUGUAGCGGUGAAAUGCAUAGAUAUCACGCAGAACUCCGAUUGCGAAGGCAGCUUACUAAGCUACAACUGACACUGAAGCACGAAAGCGUGGGGAUCAAACAGGAUUAGAAACCCGAGUAGUCC
rnacentral:rRNA from 1 species